rnacentral:rRNA from 1 species
UUAGAUACCCCGGUAGUCCACGCCGCAAACUAUGGAUGCUAGCUGUGACACACAUCGACCUGUGUCGUAGCGAAGUUAACGCGUUAAGCAUCCCGCCUGGGGAGUACGGUCGCAAGAUUAAAACUCAAAGGAAUUGACGGGGACCCGCACAAGCGGUGGAGCGUGUUGUUUAAUUCGAUGGUAAGCGAAGAACCUUACCAAGGCUUGAAAUCCCGAUAGCAGUUCAUCGAAAGAAGAACCUCAUUUAGUUGGAUCGGUGACAGGUGAUGCAUGGCCGUCGUCAGCUCGUGUCGUGAGAUGUAUGGUUAAGUCCAUUAACGAGCGCAACCCUUAUGUUCAAGUUGGAUUUUUCUAAACAGACUGCCCUGGCAACAGGGAGGAGGGAGGGGAUGACGUCAGGUCAGUAUUUCCCUUACGUCUUGGGCUACAAACACGCUACAAUGGCCGGUACAAAGGGCAGCGAACCCGCGAGGGGAAGCAAAUCUCAUCAAAACCGGUCUCAGUUCGGAUUGCAGGCUGAAACUCGCCUGCAUGAAGCUGGAAUCGCUAGUAACGGUAGGUCAGCACACUACCGUGAAUACGUUCCCGGGUCUUGUACACACCGCCCGUCAAAC